GCACAAGCGGUGGAGCAUGUGGUUUAAUUCGACGCAACGCGAAGAACCUUACCUGGGCUCGAAAUGUAGUGGAAUCCGGCAGAAACGUCGGCGUCUAGCAAUAGACCGCUAUAUAGGUGCUGCAUGGCUGUCGUCGGCUCGUGUCGUGAGAUGUUGGGUUAAGUCCCGCAACGAGCGCAACCCUUAUCUACAGUUGCUACCAUUUAGUUGAGCACUCUGUCGAAACCGCCUCGGAUAACGGGGAGGAAGGUGGGGAUGACGUCAAGUCCUCAUGGCCUUUAUGUCCAGGGCUACACACGUGCUACAAUGGCCGGUACAAACCGCUGCAAACCCGCGAGGGGGAGCUAAUCGGAAAAAGCCAGCCUCAGUUCGGAUUGGAGUCUGCAACUCGACUCCAUGAAGCUGGAAUCGCUAGUAAUCGUGGAUCAGCAUGCCACGGUGAAUACGUUCCCGGGC
rnacentral:rRNA from 1 species